GUGACCGAAGAAAAGCUGGUGUGCAAGGCGAGCCGCGGGACAAGAGCCCACCUGGCGUCAGCCGCCAUCUAGGGCCUAUCUGUUCUCCCCCUGCCGGACGAUGUGAUCAGUCAGGGCUGCAGCCCGAGCUUCCAUCUGGGAGACAGGAUGAAAAUGGAGGAGGGAGAGAGAGAAGGAAAGCUCAUUAGGUAAAGACUGCCCUUUCUUAUGUCCAUAAACACAUCACAUUGACAUCAGUCAUUUCAGGGAACCCAGAGCCCCGCGGACUGGGAGACUAGGCUCGGCCGACCCUUAAAAGCAAAAAGCAGUGGUGGUCGUGGUGGUAAUAAUCAUCUACGAAGGAAGUCCUGAGGCUGUCGGGUGGGAUACCAAGACUUCUGGGCCAGAAAAGCCUUUGAUGGAUCCAAUUACCACGCAAGCAGACCAGGGGUCCGAGGUCAGAGGCCACGCACCGGGGCUCAAGACCCGAUUCCGAACAGGUGCGGCCCGUGACCCCAAGCUUCGAGGCGACGCGCAGAACCCACCGCGGGUCCGUUUCUUAACUUUCUUCGGGCGCGGAGGGCAGAAGGCCAAAGCGCAGGCAGACCCGGGCCUCCGGGGUCCCCGGGGCGGCGGGGAGGGGGGCUUCCCUCAGGCGAGGCCCCCGGGAGUGGGGGAGACGGACGCCGAGGGGGGUGGGCCAGGCCAACCCACCCGCCACGGCCCGGCCGGCGCAGUCCCUUCGGCCCCCCGGCCGCCCCCCCAGGUGUCCGCCCCAGCGUCCGGGCGACGCGCCGCCGGAAUUCCGCCCCUUCCCAGAGACUCACGCCCGGGCCGGCGGACACACCGUGAUUCCGGAGGCGCGGCGGCCGGAGGGUCCCCGGUACACGACCGCCUCGGCGGCGCACCCGAGUCCCGCGGCCGUCCGGCAGGCGCGGGGCUCCCAGCCGCGGCCCGGGCGCCGGUGCCCUCGGCUGGGGCGGGGCCGGCGCGGGCCGCGGGGCCGGGGGCGGACGCGCCGAGCGGGCCCCGCCGGGAACAGGAAGGCGGCGGGCGGCGAGGAACCGCUUCCGGGGCUGCGGGCGGCCGCGCGGCCGCGUGCGAGCGGGGGAGAGCCGCGUCUCCGCUCGCGAGACGUCAGGCCGCCGCCCGGGUCCGCGGGACCCCGGCCCAGCUCGGGCGGGGCCGCCUCCGCACCACGGCCCGGCGACAAGACGACAGAGGCGGGAACGUAUGAAAGAAGACCUGAGAGUUUUAGGAAAUAAAGGAAACAAAAUUUUAAGGAAUUAGCUACAAAACGGAGAGAAGAAAAGGAAGCCUUGUUUCCGCCCGGUUUCGAACCGGGGACCUUUCGCGUGUGAGGCGAACGUGAUAACCACUACACUACGGAAACACGACGGCGGCAGGCUCCCUGCGAGAGCAGUUCUCCCUGCAGAACACGCCGCCCGGCCUGCCCGAUUCCUGCAAACGAGCGUCGUUUGUGUGCGCAUGCGUCCGUGCACCCGUCUUGUUCGCACCACACGAGCCCGUGAAGAGCGCGGGCCAAAUCCUCGCAGUGUACAGACUUGAAACCAAAUCCGUAACAGUUUAUUCUGGAAAUGCCCAGAUUGGGAGAAAACAAGAGAGAGGCUUCAGUGCUCACGAGUGACCCUUCUCGGUUACUUCUCAAUCGGAAUAGGCACGCCCCGGGACCGUGCACAGGCCUCGGGCUGCUCAGCGCCACCGCGUGGCCGAGACGCGGAACUUGCUGUGCAGGGGCGUGAGGACCCCCCAGCUGCGGUAAAUGCGGCGCUCUUUGGCCCCGGAGAACCUGCAAGGCAGAUGUCGCCGUGCCCGAGUUUUCCGGCUCCACGGCGUGCCGCGGUGCUCUGCCAGGGAGAGGCAAAAUAGCACGACCCGCCUCGAGCCAGCCAGGAGUCGAACCUGGAAUCUUCUGAUCCGUAGUCAGACGCGUUAUCCAUUGCGCCACUGGCCCGCACGGAGGCGUCUGCCGCCGCGGAUACUUUCGUGAGGACGCAGGCGCCGGCGGGUCCAGGCGAGGCGCGCUCGCGCCCGGGCCGCGCUCCCCGCUGCCCCGCUGGGCUCCUGGCCGGUCACCUGCAGCCGGGCUGCUCUCUCCGUGGCGUCCGUGCUCCCCUCCGCGGCGUCUUCUCCGCCCGUGACACCUCGCCAUCCACGCGUUCGCCCCGCAACCAGUGUUACCGUCGGAGGCGCUGGAAGUGGAGCCCUGAAGAAAAGCGAUGUGGUCCCUUGUCCAUCGACAAGAUGACAGGGAAGCACUACGUAAGGAGAAUAAUCAUGAUGAGCAUUUGGAGGAAAACAAAAAGACCGGGAAGACCAGGAAGGCCCGGCGGAGACGGUGAUUAACGAGAGAGAAAUGCGGGUAUCAGGGAAAAGAGCCUGGAGGGGCGAGAGCGCGCACAGACCCCCCGCUUGCGAGGACCGUGGAUGUGAUCUGUUGGGACUUGGAGGUCGUGGUGGGGUGGCGUGAUCUGGCGUGCUCUCUUGUCUCUCCUUCGGUCGUUAAAAAAUGUGUUUCAGUACUUACCAAGCAAGGCUCUGUGCUAAGCACCUGCUUGCCUGCGCGCCUCCCGCUGGGCCUGCGACUCCCAAUUUGACACCUUGGAAAGGGGCAUCGUCAGCUCGCACGCGUGACUGCGCGUGUUUGCUUUCUCAGGAAGCGAGUAAGCAUCUCCCAGGUGUGCGUUUCAGUCUCCAGAAUUCUUGAAAAGUAAUCGUCGUCCCCAUGCCUGGGUGAGGAUCGCAGAUAAGUUGACAGCUGUUAAGCGAAUGAAACUGCCUGACAUUGAGAACAUAUCCACUGAGUGUAGAAAAUAGUCGUUUUCAGUUCAUAAGGUUGCAACGGCGGUUAAGAAUAAUACAGGUGUUCCUGCUCUUUCUGUAUAACUUUACAGUAGACCUAGUUAGGAAUCUCCCCCUGGACAAUGGAACAGGAAACCUCUGGCCAGGUUUUGUACUUGUAUGCCUAGGGCACUUUGGUGGUUUUGGACUGCCUCACAGAAUAAUCGUUUCGGCUAGAAAGAAAAAAAAGAUAAAUAUGUACGAUUUCAAAGGGAAAUCAAUUACACUGAAAUAUGUUACCAAAAUAUUAAAAACGUAUGCUGUGGCAAUAUUUUUGCUCCUCUAUUAAUGACCUAAAUGACAAUGUACAGCAGGUCUAAUCAAUACCGUAAUUUCAAAGCACUAAUGAGCAUCCAUGAUAUUUAAAGAAAUUUGUAACAACUGUCGUUUGAUGUGAAAUACUUGUGAUCUCCAAAAAUGACAAAAUAAAAAGGGCUGAGAUACAACAGUAAUUUGUUGCCAACACUCAAGAUGGAAUAAAACACAAAGUUUCAGUAUCAAGUUCGUCAAGGUAAAUAUUUAUUUUCCCAUCCGAGUUCACAGACUGUCGCCUCCCUCUAAGAAGCAAAAGGAGGUUUCUGUUCCCAAGAGCAGUUUGGAAACACGAACACUCACGCUUGAAUUUUGAGAAAUGAAGCAAACUGGGGUACUUCUCGGUUCUAUUUUACCCUCAUCGCAUACCCAGGAUGGGCAGGCAGGCCAGACCCCAAGGGGUCCCUGGAGCCGCGGGUCGCGUCUUGCACCUCUAAAAUGGGCUUCAACUCAGCUAGCUGGAGGCCCCGUCCACAUGUUCUCUCCUCGGUGUCUGCAGAGACCUCCCUUCGUUGGGCAGGUUUUGAAAGCUUCAGCGGCCUCCACGUUCUCCGCGAUGCUCACAACCUGACAUGAGCCGAGGCAUGCUUUCACUUUGUUUUUGGAGAGCUUUCUAGGGGUCACCUUUUCUGAGAGUUCCAGUUUCUAGCGUUCAGUCUUUUCUUCAGUGGUUGUAUCAGUCAGAGAAACAGAGUCCAGAAAAAAAACAAAACAAAACAGAACUAGUAAGAGAAUAUGAAUGAAUGAAUGAAUGAAUGAACGAAUGAAUGAAUGACUAUUUCAAAGCCUGGCGAGUCUGAAAUCUGCGGAGCAGGCCUGUAGUUUAGAAAAUCUCAGGCAGGAGCUGAUGCUACAGUCUUAAAACAGAUUUUCUUCUUCCUCCGGGAAGCCUCCAUUUUGCUUUUAAAUAAAGCCUUUCACCCGGUUGGAAAUAAUAAUUCAUGGGAAAUAAUAAUUGGUUCGGCUGGCUGGCUCACCCGUAUUACUGAGGAUCUUACAGUCAACUCAUUGUAACCACGUUAACCCACGAAGAUAUUUACAACAUAUCUUUACAGCAACAUCCAGAUUAGUGUUCAGUUGAAUAACUGGGCACUGUACAGCCUAGCCAAGUUCACACAUCAAGAUAACCAUCGCAGUGCACUGUUCUUCUGGUCUCUCUCUCAAGCAUGUGGACAAUGGCACUCUCUGCCCCUCCCGUGUUUCUUUACAUUAUUGUCAGCAGUCUGUGACACAGAGAUCCGCGCCUUCUCCAGUUUCAGAUGCGAGGAACAGAGCCAAGUGUGAGAGGCCCUUCCACGGGCUUUGCCGGCCACACUGGGGAUUGCGCAGAGGAGAGAAUUCGCACCCAGAGUUCUGGAAGCGAUCGUUCUAAGUCUCAGUUUUUCCCCCAAGAUUUGUCUGCGGCUUGUUAAACACCUGCUUUGACUUAGCAGCAUUUCACUGCCGAUUUUGACCGCUGGUGACCAACCAAAGGAAAAACCCCAACCAAAUACCGCUCUGCUGUCUUUCUGAUAAUCUGCCACAGUUUGGUCAAGGCCAUAGUAGCCAAUACUAGAGGAAACUAAGGAAAGCAGAAGGCAAAAAUCACCAAGUUUAAACUACAAGCAACAUCAUAAUCUCUGGUCACCCGAUCCUCUUUCCUGGGGGAAUUCCAGACCAAUGCAAUCAGCAGGCAAUAUUUGCAGAAAGCGCAGCCUCGGGAAUGAUUGCUACAUGUGCAGCAUCUCAAUUCACAGCAGCCACUAAAAUCCAACCACAUCACGCAAGCCGCAAAUAACUGAUUUAACAGGUGGUGUUGUGCUCAGACUUUUUCGGAAAGGAGCAUCAAACUCAAACUAUUUGUCACCGGUGAUUUCAGAAAAGAAGGCGUCAGGAAGAAGCAACUGUCUGUACGUCACAGAGCGGAUGGGUAGCCCACUAGGACAGGCGGACUUGAAAAUGGCAGCCCCAGGCUGACUCCAAGCCGUCCAGGAAGAGCCAAGGCGCAGACUCCCAGGCUGAGUCAUGGUGUAGACGUCAGCACUAGAACACUACUUCACCCUGCUACUGAAUUUCACUUGACCUUCACCCCCUGCUCCAUCAGGGUCCAGGAACACCUUUACCGGGAUGCUUCCAGCCCAGAGGCCCUUAACAGAGUGCAUUGAUCUGUACCGCUGAGGUAAUGGUGCUGGCUCUUGGAGCUCUAGAAUAUUCCACGUGAGGACUCUAACCAUCUCUCCCCAAAAGCUUGAAAGCCUUUCUACCUCUCCAUAUAUGGACCAUGAAAGUGAUUUGCGUGUACAAGUGGAAAUGAUUUACAAUCCAAUGUUUGUUUAGCCUCCCGGUGCCUACUUGUCCAGAGCCAGUUCUAUGCAAGCGCCAUGCCGGUCGCACAUGGGUCAUGAAUGGUGCUGUAAAAAGCCUGGGGGGAGGGUGCGGCAGACCGUUCAAUGGCAGUUGCAGGGUAGUGGCGGGUGAUAACACUGGGGGUGGGGGCCCUGGGGGCCGCACUUCACUAUUUAGCCCGGACUGGUGGAGGAAAGAGGUGGGGGAAGACUUCACGAAGAAGUGACACCCAUACUGAGCACGGAGGAGAUGUAGAGAGGGGGCUGGAGAGAAGGCGUGGAAAAGAUGCUCCUGGCAAAGGGGACCGUGGGUGGCUACAGGUGAAGAUCCGAGGAAGCAAUGGCGGGUGGGAGGAGAGGGGUGGACUGCGUGGCUGUGUGUGCAGAUCCUGAAACUCUCAUAAAGACCACAGAUGGACUUGACCUGACCGUAAGUCAUCAAAUGCUUCAUGGGAUAAAUUUGUUUGCUUGCCUGCUUCAUGUUUUGUUUUGUUUUUAAAGACCACGUGCUACUGGGGCACCUUGGUGGCUCAGCCGGUUAAGAAUCUGCCUCUUGGUUUCUGCUCAGGUCAUGAUCUCAUGGUCAUGGGUUCAGGCCCCUGGCGGGCUUUGCUCUGACAGUGCGGAGCCUGCUUGCGCUUCUCUCUCCCUCUCUCUCCCUCUCUGCCAGUCCCCUGCUCAAGCCCUCUCUCUUUCUCUCAAAUAAGGGCGAUCUCCGAUCUCCAGAGUUCAGCACAGGCCCCAGCAGAGAGCGGGUGCUCUAUUGUAACAAAAAACGUCAUUUAUCAGGUGUUUCUGAUUUUCCAGGCAAAUAAAGUGUUCUUUGCCAAGCACUUUAUAUCUACUGAGUCAUGCAAUCCUCACAGCCUACUUAUGAAGUGAUGUUCAGUUAUUUCCUUCCCUUUAGAGAGGAGGGCACCAAGGCACGGGCUUACACAGUCACUUGCCUGGAAGGUCACAUAGCUCAUCAGUGGCAGAGUCAGGGGCCCCUGUAGCCUGAAGACCAUUGAACCCGUUCGCCCUCCAAGUGUCUCUAAAUGCUUCUCUUUGCACCUGUUUGCCAUUUCCUCUUUUCCCAUAUGUUGCCAGGGCCCAAGGGAGGACACUAAAUGGGCAGAAAUGGACUGGGGGUGCGGCCACCUGGGCGAUAAGGAGAACCCUCGUUUGCUUGUUCUUUUCUAACCUUACUGAGGACAGUCUUUCUAAGCAAUACCAACUCGCUUUUCUUUCAGUGUGUGUAUGAAGGUUUCUGUGAAUUUUGAGGAAUUUGGGAGAGGGCAGAAUGAUUAUCAAUGAUCAUAAAACAGAUUCCCUCUGUUUUCUGUCCUUGUAACCUGGGAUUGGAUCGGAUUUCUUUUAAAAAUGGAAUGGUGAGGAGAAAAUUCCAGUCGCCUGUGCUUUUUGAUUACUUGGGGCUUUGCAAGAAAUUAUGUUAGAAUAAUAUUCACUAUCUAAGUUUUGAGUUCAAAAUAGAAGCACUGUUAAUAUUUGUAGCUGUAACUAUUGAUGCUUAAGAUAAGCAGUCUGAACAUCAGGAAACUUGAAUUUGAGGGAUAUUUCUGAAGAUGUCACUAAACAUGAAUUUCUAUGUGUCUAAAUCACAUUCCCUGGGUCCUAGAUCCAGUUCCGAAGUCUAACCUUUUUAACUGUCAGACCCUCAUCACCUGUCAUUUGCUCCUGCUCUAUGUCAAGGAAAGAUUCAUAAUGGAAAACAUAGGAAGACGUUCAUUGAUGGCAUCUUUUUUUUUUUUUUUUUUUUUUUUUUUUUUUUUUUGUGGUGGCCAGGCGUUGAACCCAGUCUGGGAGUCAUCCCUGGGCGAGUAGGCAAACCCACGCUUGCAGAUCUCUGUGCAGCAAUUAAAAGCAAUGGUCUAGAUGUGCAUACGGCAACAUAGGUAAACCUCAAAACCGUGGUAGGAUGGAAAUGAGUUGAUCAUUCCGCUGUUGGAAUAUUGGAAAAAGUAGCGGGCCACCUUCCAUAGUAAGGAUUCGAAAAAAAUGACCGCUCUGUCAGGAGUGGGAUUCGAACCCACGCCUCCAGGGGAGACUGCGACCUGAACGCAGCGCCUUAGACCGCUCGGCCAUCCUGACUCGCUGGGGAGCGAGCUUGCUCCGAAUUUAUUUGUGUCUCUACCCACACACCAAGCAGUUCCGGAUGCGGAACCCUUCCGGGCAGGAGUGAGACGAGCGCUCCUUCGUGAGCCGCGCGCGGGACGCCGGCCCCGGCGUCCCGCGCGCAAUAAAUAGCACCGGGCUCCGGGCGCGGCCGAGUGGCACCUGCCGUGCGACCGCGGAUUCGAUUCCAGGCCCCCGGGAGGGGCGGGGCGGGAUGUCCGGGGAGAAGGGCGCCCUCCCCCCACAGGGGGCAGAACCCUGCUGAACUCGUGGCACCGUGUCGCUGGAAUACGCGCUUUCUCCCGGGAGGUUUUGGGCCGCGGCAGGUGCGCGCAGGCUGCAGCCCUGCCCGCAGGCGCUCGCUAACCCUCCCCCUCCUCCCAGCGGGCGCCGCCCCGGGAAGCGGCGUUAGCAGGCGGGCGAGUGGAGCUUCUCGUUCUGAAUUCGUUGAACUCUCUACACUGAGGAUUUGCCGGCAUUACUGUGUGGCUGUUCUACUGCGGGGAACAGAAGAAGUUUCUGCAUCUGGUAAACCUGGCACAGGGGCCCUCGACGCCAGGCCUCUACUGCAGCAACUUCUCUAAGCACACUUCACGUCUGAUGGGACCUACCUCGGGGUUUCUUGUCCAGUGUUAGCGUCGGGAUGCUGUGGUCAGGACAUCGCCGACGGGGAGUCGGGGAACCUGACCGUGAGUUUCAAACAAAGGACUAGUGAGUCAACUGCCUGGAGGCUUGCGGACAAGUCUUUUGGCCCGUGUUGACCUGAGAAACGGCUUUCCUAGACGCUUUACAGUUUCAUCUAAAUUCAUUUGAAGACAUACAAAGCUUGAGCGCUUAAAUGAAGCAUCAAAUCCCCGUCCCCAGAGAACCAGUUAGACGCAAGUAAUUCUCAGUCUCACCCAGACCUACCGAGUCAGACAUUUGGGGGGUAGAGUCCAGGAAUCUGUGUGUAACCAGCACUCCAGGGGAUUCUGAGAUGUGCCCAGGUUUGAGAGUCACUGGCUGGAGGCACAGUAACCCCGCAAUUCUUACCAGAGAAACUGCUCUGGCGUGAGCAGGUGCCAUGUGAAAGCGCGCUCAUACUGCCAACAGCCUCCCCGCCUCAGGCUCAUCGAAUUGGGGUGCCUGAGAGUUCCACCUGGGGACUGUCUUCCUUACGGUGCCCCCUUCACCCCCCGGGUGAUUCUAGUGUGCACCCAAGUUCGAGAUCAUUACUUUAGGAUUUAGCUUCCGAAAAAGGCUGAAUCCCUUAAGGGUGAGGUGGAGGGGCCGCAUUCAGAAAACGUGUUCAGGCCUCCGUGGCACAGGGCUCUGGCCCCAAAUAUUUGUAAAACGUGGAGUGCCGCCGGCCAAAGCACGACUCACGGGGGCUGUUCAUAGGCUCCGUGUGUGUGCGUGUCCACCUGCGUGGGAUGUCUGAAGGUGGAUCGUGGGAGAUGGCCAGAGAUGACCGUCAGCCAAGGAGGGUUUUCCCCGGCCCCUGAAAUGCCAGGGCCCAGCCUUUCCCAGAGAUAAGAUGGAAACGAUCCAGAGAGCACGUUCCAGUCCAAUGGUCGGCGUGGUUGCGCGUGAGCAUUGGGUGAAGACGAAUAGAUCUGUCCGGGACGCAGAGACGCUUUCCGGGUUCCAGAAGCCCGGCAACACCCAGGCUCGUCUCUUUUGGGAGAUUCAGGAAUAAAGCCAGAACGUCCGGAGACUCACCGUUUCCUCCAGGCCCCGGUAGCCGGUGCCAGCUGGAAAAAGAGCCUCAAGGCUCAUCAGAGACGGGUUCUUGUGCCAGCGCCGUCUGUUCUCGGCGAGGUUUCACAAAUAGGUCUCCGGACACACAUUAUACGUUACACCAGCAAAGCAACUGCCUGAGGCUCCCACGUAGUUUGGAAAGACUUGAGACUUUUUCUUCGACUUUCUGAAAGUAUAAUUUGAACAAACAUGAA